CGUGAAUCGAGGGUGUAGUCCUUCGAUAAUACAAACGAGUAUCUGCCCUAUCAACUUUCAACCGUAGUGUAGUGGACUACGGUGGUUAUAAUGGGUACGGGGAAUUAGGGUUCGAUUCCGGAGAGGCCGCCUGAGAAACGGCGACCACUUCCAAGGAAGGCAGCAGGCGCGUAAAUUAUCCAAUCACAAUUCGUGGAGAUAGUGACAAGAAAUACUGGUGCAGGCCCUUUGAGGGCUUGCGAUCGGAAUGAGAACAAUUUAAAAACCUUAGCGAGUAACAAUUGGAGGGCAAGUCUGGUGCCAGCAGCCGCAGUAAUUCCAGCUCCAAGAGUGUAUAUUAAAGUUGUUGCGGUUAAAAAGCUCGUAGUUGAACUGAGGAUUUAGGGUGGUUUUGGUACCACUGGGCAAUGCCCUGUGGAGUUAUACUGGCCAUUCUAGGUUUAUCUUUUAACGUAAAAGAUAGGGGCUACGGCCUUUGUCUGUUAAGAGGGUUUACUUUGAAUUAAUUUGGGUGUUUAAAGCAGACUACUGUUUGAAAAUAUUAGCAUGGGAUAAUGAAAGAUGACUUGAGUCAUUGUUUGUUGGUUUCUAAGGCUUAAGUAAUGAUUGAUAGGGGCAGUUGGGGUCGCUCGUAUUCAAUGGCGAGAGGUGAAAUUCUAUGACCCAUUGAGGACGAACUAAUGCGAAGGCAUUCGACAAGGAUGUUUUCAUUAAUCAAACGAAAGUUGUGGGAGCGAAGAUGAUCAGAUACCGUCGUAGUCACAACUGUAAACUAUGUCGACUCAGGAUCAGUGGGUGUUACAUGGAUGACCUCACUGGCACUGAAUGCGAAAGCAAAGUAUCCAGACUCCGGGGGGAGUAUGGUCGCAAGGCUGAAACUUAAAGGAAUUGACGGAAGGGCACCACCAGGAGUGGAACCUGCGGCUUAAUUUGACCCAACACGGGGAAACUUACCCAGUCCAGACGCAACGAGGAUUGACAGAUUGAUAGCUCUUUCUUGAUUUUGUGGAAGCCGGUGCAUGGCCGUUUUUAGUUGGUGGAGUGAUUUGUCUGGUUAAGUCCGAUAACGAACGAGACCUUCUUCUAUUAAAUAGUGCACGAUACAUGGGGCUUUGUGUGUGUUCGGCACUUCGGUGUUGGGCAUAUUUGCAGGGUCCCGUCAAUUGUAACGACAGUACUUCUUAGAGAGACUAGUGGGAACCUUAAAAACCACGGGAAGAUGGAGGCAAAAACAGGUCUGUGAUGCCGCUCGAUGUCUGGGGCUGCACGCGCGUUACAAUGGCGUGUUCAACGAGUAUUAAAAACCAGGCCCGAAGGGGUCUAGGCAAUCUCAAAAUCACGUCGUGAUGGGGAUUGUGCAUUGCAACUAUCGCACAUGAACGAGGAAUUCCUAGUAAGUACAGGUCAUCAACCUGUGCUGAUUACGUCCCUGCCCUUUGUACACACCGCCCGUCGCUUCUACCGAUUGAACUACUCGGUGAGGACUCGGGACUGGGAACCUUGCUUCGGUUUGGUUUCUGGGAUCCUGUUCGAACCUCGUAGUUUAGAGGAAGAAGAAGUCGCAACAAGGUA
rnacentral:rRNA from 1 species